UUUUGGCAACAUUUAGUGCACUGAAAGAGAAGGCUGAUUCUUGGUUGAGAUGGUUGGAUGGUUUUUUCACAAACAAUUCGUAUAUCAUCACAGCAAUGUAUGGAACAUCAUUUUUUCAGUCUGGAAAACAAGCAGCGAAACUCUUAAAACUCAGCAUCGGCCACACGAGAGAUUUUAAUCUCUAUGCAAACCUGGUAAUAAUGACAGGUCACAGUUUAGUUAUCUUUGUCUCUACUUUAGGUGCUUACAUCACUUUAUACGUAAGUACAUUUUUUAAUAAUCCUAACUAACUCUUUCAGGCAAAUUUUAUAUCGUGGUAUUUCCAUUAUAGUACAGUGUGGGGAUUUACGGUUCAUACAGUGGUCACUUCGCCCUUGUUGCACUUGGAAUUUCUAGUUUUUGCGCCCAUACCAUUUUGGGAACGCUAAAGGUUAGCUUGAAUACGUUAUUCUGUUGCGCAACUGAGGAGUUACUGAGGAACAAAGAAGCUGACCUGCCCUACACCAUGACCAUGAAGGAGUUACUUCACGGUUCCAACAAACUCCUCCUUCAAAAGGUCCAGAACAGGCCCCCUUCGAACAUAGCAGAGAGAAGUUUUUACAUAAAAUUAUUCGUAUUUAUUUUUGUCUCUAUAAGUUGCGUAUUGUUUUUCGUUGCUUAUUUUAUAUAGAUUUUAAUCGUUUUUUAUUUUAGACUAUGAGAAAGUGUGACUUUACGGCCUUGUUUUUGAGCUAAUUAAAAUGGCCAGGUUGACAAAGACCAUUAGUAUUAUUAUUAUUAAUAAACGGAAGAUAUAUUAAAAUAUUUUAGGCUCAAGUUCAAAAGUGACAUAAGCCCGA